GCCCAGUAGACGACUGGGUUGAUAGGCCAGAUGUGGAAGCGUUGCAAGACGUGGAGCUGACUGGUACUAAUACACCGAAAACUUCUACACA
rfam:Kocuria marina strain SO9-6 KM0045, whole genome shotgun sequence.